CCCUGGUACACACUGAAACCUGAUCUGAGGCUCUGUCAGGCUGAUGAUCCCGGGGAGUGAUCCGCUUCAUUCGAUAUGGCUGGAGGAUUUAAGUAACAACCAAUGAACACUUUAACAAAAGGACUCAAUUUAUGGUUUCAACAGCUUCUGUCUGUCAAGUGUGAAGGAUUUCACUCUACCAUAUGGAAGAAUGAAAAAGAAAAAAGCCUAUUAGAACAAAUGAAAAGGAAUAACAAGCAUGAUGAUGGACGGUCAGGGUUUUGCUGGUGAGAGCUCUGGAGGUCAAAGGGACAGAACUUUAUCAAGCAUCUUCCUGAAGUGGUACAUUAAAUAAGC